GUGAUCGAGCGACGCCGCGUGGAGGAUGAAGGCCUUCGGGUUGUAAACUCCUGUCGAGGGGGAGGAAGGCGCAAGCUUGACCGAUCCCUGGAGGAAGCACGGGCUAAGUUCGUGCCAGCAGCCGCGGUAAGACGAACCGUGCGAACGUUAUUCGGAAUCACUGGGCUUAAAGCGCGUGUAGGCGGAUCGGCGCAUCGAUGGCUGAAAGCCCCCGGCUCAACCGGGGAAGGGGCGUCGAGAUGGCCGGUCUCGAGGGGGGUAGGGGGACCUGGAACUUCCGGUGGAGCGGUGAAAUGCGUUGAGAUCGGAAGGAACGCCCGUGGCGAAAGCGAGGUCCUGGACCCCUUCUGACGCUGAGACGCGAAAGCCAGGGGAGCAAACGGGAUUAGAUACCCCGGUAGUCCUGGCCGUAAACGAU
rnacentral:rRNA from 1 species